rnacentral:rRNA from 1 species
GUGCCAGCAGCCGCGGUAAGACGAACCGAGCGAACGUUGUUCGGAAUCACUGGGCUUAAAGGGCGCGUAGGCGGGUGUUCAAGUCUGUGGUGAAAUCCUCCGGCUCAACCGGAGAAUUGCCUCGGAUACUGAAUGUCUCGAGGGUGAUAGGGGUAUGCGGAACUAUCGGUGGAGCGGUGAAAUGCGUUGAUAUCGAUAGGAACUCCGGUGGCGAAGGCGGCAUACUGGAUCACUUCUGACGCUGAGGCGCGAAAGCCAGGGGAGCAAACGGGAUUAGAAACCCGGGUAGUCC